UACGUAGGGUGCGAGCGUUAAUCGGAAUUACUGGGCGUAAAGCGUGCGCAGGCGGCUUUGCAAGACAGAUGUGAAAUCCCCGGGCUCAACCUGGGAACUGCAUUUGUGACUGCAAGGCUAGAGUACGGCAGAGGGGGAUGGAAUUCCGCGUGUAGCAGGGAAAUGCGUAGAUAUGCGGAGGAACACCAAUGGCGAAGGCAAUCCCCUGGGCCUGCACUGACGCUCAUGCACGAAAGCGUGGGGAGCAAACAGG
rnacentral:rRNA from 1 species